ACUUAUGUAUCUAAUCUAUGUACAUGUAUUUUAAUAUAUAAUUAUAGAGAUGCUGACGAUAGUGCAAACUUUUUUGCACAUCUUGUUGUAGAGAUUUUUAAAAUAUUAUGCGAGAGAAAUAAUUUGCUAAAAGGUGAUAAAGGGUAGGUAGAUGGUAGAUUAGAUACCUAUGACUCAUCGGCAACGGCACACAUGAUCACGAAUACUCGUAGUUCCUUUACAAAUAGUUUCUUAUCUCCUUUUCAUCGCAUCGUUGACAGCUCAUCGUGUCAAUUGUCAUGUAAUUUUGAUUGCUUACUCGUUUGUAUGAAUAUUUCGUCGCAUUUCGGUUGCUCGUGCACUUUUUGUACUGUAUAGUGAUAUUUGCUACGCUAUUUUCGAAUAAUUCGGAUUUUUAAUUGAAUUAGAAUAUGUUCGCGAUUUCUUAUGAAUUAUUAUGAAUUUGGAUAUGUGUUGAUUACGAGUAUAGUACAUUGUGAUUACUUAUUGUUAGGUUUGUACCGGAAGAGGGGAUCGAAAACUGUUCGUGUACUAGAAGGAUGCCAAAUAAAUUGAAGUUGACUGGGAAUACGUUGCUGGAGCAUUUUUAACCAAGAUUAAUGUAAUACCUAGGUAUACGAAGGCCUACAAUUUUACUGAUGUUGCAGUUUGAAACCUUUCAGAGGAGCACAUUGAUUUCAUUGGAUUUCGUAUGCGGAUGCUGUGUCUGAUUUAUUGGUACUUGUGCUUGGAGAAGGAAGGAGGAGUUGGUCUGAGUCGUUGAUUUUGAUGGUGGUUUUGAAAAGUAUUCGAAUCAGUAAUCCGGAAUGGAAGAUUCAAAGCUCGUG